GAUGAACGCUGGCGGCGUGCCUAAUACAUGCAAGUCGAGCGAACAGACGAGGAGCUUGCUCCUCUGACGUUAGCGGCGGACGGGUGAGUAACACGUGGAUAACCUACCUAUAAGACUGGGAUAACUUCGGGAAACCGGAGCUAAUACCGGAUAACAUGUUGAACCGCAUGGUUCAACAGUGAAAGACGGUCUUGCUGUCACUUAUAGAUGGAUCCGCGCCGCAUUAGCUAGUUGGUAAGGUAACGGCUUACCAAGGCAACGAUGCGUAGCCGACCUGAGAGGGUGAUCCGCCACACUGGAACUGAGACACGGUCCAGACUCCUACGGGAGGCAGCAGUAGGGAAUCUUCCGCAAUGGGCGAAAGCCUGACGGAGCAACGCCGCGUGAGUGAAGAAGGUCUUCGGAUCGUAAAACUCUGUUAUUAGGGAAGAACAAAUGUGUAAGUAACUAUGCACGUCUUGACGGUACCUAAUCAGAAAGCCACGGCUAACUACGUG
rnacentral:rRNA from 1 species